rnacentral:rRNA from 1 species
GAUGAACGCUGACAGAAUGCUUAACACAUGCAAGUCGAUUCAAGUUACCUUCGGGUAAUGAGGAUGGCGGACGGGUGAGUAACGCGUAAGGAACUUGCCUCUUGGUCUGGGACAACUGUUGGAAACGACAGCUAAUACCGGAUAUUAUGAGAUUCUCGCAUGAGAAACUUAUGAAAGCUAUAUGCGCCAAGAGAGAGCCUUGCGUUCCAUUAGCUAGUUGGUGGGGUAAUGGCCCACCAAGGCGACGAUGGAUAGCCGGCCUGAGAGGGUGAACGGCCACAAGGGGACUGAGACACGGCCCUUACUCCUACGGGAGGCAGCAGUGGGGAAUAUUGGACAAUGGGCCACAAGCCUGAUCCAGCAAUUCUGUGUGCACGAUGAAGGUCUUCGGAUUGUAAAGUGCUUUCAGUUGGGAAGAAGAAAGUGACGGUACCAACAGAAGAAGCGACGGCUAAAUACGUGCCAGCAGCCGCGGUAAUACGUAUGUCGCAAGCGUUAUCCGGAUUUAUUGGGCGUAAAGCGCGUCUAGGCGGAAAGAUAAGUCUGAUGUGAAAAUGCGGGGCUCAACUCCGUAUUGCGUUGGAAACUGUCUUUCUAGAGUACUGGAGAGGUGGGCGGAACUACAAGUGUAGAGGUGAAAUUCGUAGAUAUUUGUAGGAAUGCCGAUGGAGAAGUCAGCUCACUGGACAGAUACUGACGCUGAAGCGCGAAAGCGUGGGGAGCAAACAGG